GCUGGGCGUGGUGGCGCGUACCUGUAAUCCCAGCUACUCAGGAGGCUGAGGCAGGAGAAUCACUUGAAUCCAGGAGGCAGAGGUUGCAGUGAGCCCGAUCGCACCACUGCACUCCAGCCUGGGCAAUAGAGUGAGACCCUGUCUCAA
rnacentral:sRNA from 1 species